CUCAGGCGCAGGCGGGCGGUCCGGCUCGCGCCGGCUCACUGCCCGUAUCUCCUGCCCUACCGUCUGUCGGCUCUCUCCCGCGGGUGCUCUUCACUGAGCGUCCCGGGUGGCCGACGCGUUUACUUUGAAAAAAUUAGAGUGUUCAAAGCAGGCCUCGCUGCCUGAAUAAUGGUGCAUGGAAUAAUGGAAUAGGACCUCGGUUCUAUUUUGUUGGUUUUCGGAAUUGGAGGUAAUGAUUAACAGGGACAAACGGGGGCAUUCGUAUUGCUGCGUUAGAGGUGAAAUUC
rnacentral:rRNA from 1 species